rnacentral:rRNA from 1 species
UGGAGAGUUUGAUCCUGGCUCAGAGUGAACGCUGGCGGCGUGCCUAACACAUGCAAGUCGAACGAUGAAGUCCUUCGGGAUGGAUUAGUGGCGCACGGGUGAGUAAUGCAUAGAUAAUGUGCCCCUUAGUUCGGGAUAGCCACUGGAAACGGUGAUUAAUACCGGAUACUCCUUCUUGUCUCAAGGCAAGUCGGGAAAGUUUUUCGCUAAGGGAUCAGUCUAUGUUCCAGCAGGUAGUUGGUGAGGUAAUGGCUCACCAAGCCUAUGACGGAUAUCUGGUUUGAGAGGAUGAUCAGACACACUGGAACUGAGACACGGUCCAGACUCCUACGGGAGGCAGCAGUGAGGAAUAUUGCACAAUGGAGGAAACUCUGAUGCAGCAACGCCGCGUGGAGGAUGACGCAUUUCGGUGUGUAAACUCCUUUUAUUAGGGAAGAUAAUGACGGUACCUAAUGAAUAAGCACCGGCUAACUCC